rnacentral:rRNA from 1 species
UACGUAGGGGGCUAGCGUUGUCCGGAAUUAUUGGGCGUAAAGAGCGUGUAGGCGGUCCGGUAAGUCCGCUGUGAAAGCCGGGGGCUCAACCCUCGGAUGCCGGUGGAUACUGUCGGGCUUGAGUACGGAAGAGGCGAGUGGAAUUCCUGGUGUAGCGGUGAAAUGCGCAGAUAUCAGGAGGAACACCAAUGGCGAAGGCAGCUCGCUGGGACGUUACUGACGCUGAGACGCGAAAGCGUGGGGAGCAAACAGG